GUAGGCUUUAACUUCAAACAGGCCCGACGGACUCACAAAUUAAAUGAGAAGAAUCAGCAUCCAGAGACUCGCUCUUCAGCUUUCCUCAAUGAGAAAACAUAACGCAGCGUGAGGCUUUUACAAGACGACCAGAGGGAUAGUAUCAGUGAAAGGCACUCAGUGUUCAGUUAUUAAUCUCCUGCCGCCGUUGGCCCUUUCAUAAAAGGAGGUUACUGCAGGAAGUCAAAAGUGUAUCUGGGUUUUCCAUCUUCAAUCCCUGUAGAGGUCACUGUUGCUUGGCACAGCUGAAAAACAACUGAAGCUCAAAAGGAAGGAGCACACGUCCAGAUGGCAGACUCUUAACUGAGCUUGGAUUAAUGGGAGGACGGGCAAGAACUGCA